AAAUAGAAAAUAAACUUAGCAUAUAAAAUUUUGCAUACAUUUGAAGUUUUGAUCAAUCCUUGAGGCUAAUCUGAAAGAAUGUGUUAAGAUAAAUGAAAACUUAGAUGGAACUCCACCGUAACAAAUAAUUUUUCUGUCUUCUCUCCUGAGUACCACAGACUUCCAUUCAACAAAAGCAGCAUUCUCUCUGUGGCAAAUCAUUUCCAGGACAGACAGGUACUUGUGACCCUCCAGCUCCCACUUCCUACUUGUCUGAAGCUAUAAUCUGAACAAGGGACAUUUCAGCACAGAACAACAGAGAAUAAAGCUUUAUUUCUGAGAUUUAGAAGCUAACAGAAGGUGAGAACUAUGGUUGGGAACUAUGGAAAUAGAAAACUACACAGUACAGUUUCCCAACUCACUAUUUCUUAUUGGAGAAAAAUACCAAAUACUUUAUAAACUUACCAGAAUUAAUGCUGCUCCUUCAUAAAAGAGGCCAGGAGAUCCCUUGCAAAGCCAGUAAAACAAUGAAGUAAGAGAUUUCAAAAUACUAGAAAAUUUGGAUUAAAAAGCCAAUGUGAUUUUAAAACACAGAAUUAUAAAAAAUUCUGUAUGAGAGCCAAGUGCAUGCCUGUAAUCCCAGAACUUGGGAUAUAGAAGCAACUGAACUUCUGUAAAUUCAAGGUCAGUACACUUCACAUAGCAACUUCCCAGUCACACUAACUACAUAGUGAGACCCUGAUUCAAAUAAAUAAAUAAAUUUAAAAAUCACAUACAAAUGACAAAAUGUACUGGCUUGACAUAUACGAUGCAAGCUUUACUACUUGUAAUCUCUGGAUAAGGAAAGCGUACAAAGCAAGCAAUCAAGAAAGAGGACGAGUGGGGAAGGAAGGAAGGAAGGAAGGAAGGAAGGAAGGAAGGAAGGAAGGAAGGGAGGGGGGAGGGGGGAGGGAGGGAAGGAAGGUAGUAAGAAACAGAAUUGAACCUAUGCAUGAUGAAACAAGAGCUGGAUAAAAAUUCCCUCCAGAUGGAUUAAAAUUUUAAGGAUAUGGGCCGAGGAGAUGCCUUAGUCUAUAAGGUUGAACCCCGGCACCCACGUAAGAAGCCAGGGAUGGUGGUACAUACUUACAAUCCCGGCAUGGGGAGGCAAAGCCAGGCAGAGUCCAAGUUAGAGACUGUCUCAAAAAGAAAACCAAUGUGGACACUUCCUAAGGAACUGUAGUGGGUAGCCAUUCCAGCUUUGAUCUGGAAGUUCCAACCCCCAUUGAGGCUUCAGUAACUGUCACACCUUGUAGGCGGGCCGAGAGAGAACCCUGAAGACCCGAGAUCCGGAUGUGCUGGCUCUCUUGGUUCCUGGACCCUGGACGCUGGAGGUAGACCGAGCAGAGUUCUCCAGAGAACACCGCCGGACUGUGCUACACCUUUCUCAGACCGUUACCUAUCCCUUCAUUUGUGAGUUACCCCACAAAAUAAACCUCCCUUUUAACUACGUGGAGUUACCUCAAUAAUUUCACCAAUAUCUGGCACCCAACGUGGGGUACGGACUCAUGACCCUGAGAUUAAGAGUCUCAUGCUCUACCGACUGUCCUUCUGAGGUCUUUGAUGUAGUUGAAGACUGAAGUUAUAAUUGUCCUUAGUUAUGAAAAGAGAUAAAUUAGAUAUGAAACCUUAGACUCACAAACAUAGGACAGAUAGGAUAGCUUCUUAAUUUUGCCAAAUACAGACUAGAUAUUAUAAAUAGACUAGAUAGUAUAACUGUAAUUCUUGCUUGAUAAUUGUUUUGUUAUCUGUAAUUUUACUAUGUCAAAGUUAAAACCUUGCUUUUUGAAAAAAAAAAAAAAAAACAAAGAAAAGGGGAAGUGCUGUGGGAUGUUCUGUAUGUUAAAUGUGUUGCUCUGAUUGGUUAAUAAAUAAAACACUGAUUGGCCAGUAGCCAGGCAGGAAGUAUAGGCGGGACAAGGAGAGAAGAGAAUUCUGGGAAGUGGAGGCUGAGGAGAGAGACACUGCCAGCUGUCGCCAUGACAAGUGAGAUGUAAGGUACCGAUAAGCCACAAACCAUGUGGCAACUUAUAGACUAAUUUAAGAUAUAAGAACUAGAUAACAAGAAGCCUGCUGCAGCCAUACAGUUUGUAAGCAAUAUAAGUCUCUGUGUGUUUACUUGGUUGGGUCUGAGCAGCUGCGGGACUGGCGGGUGAGAGAGAUUUGUCCUGACCAUGGGCCAGGAAGGAAAACUCUAGCUACAAGGAACAACACUCAAGGCUGACCUCUGGCUGCUGCUGCUUCUUUUCUUUUUUUUUUUCUUUUUGUUGUUGUUGUUUUUCAAGACAAGGUUUCUCUGUGUAGCUUUGCGCCUUUCCUGGAGCUCGCUCUGUAGACCAGGCUGGCCUUGAACUCACAGAGAUCUGCCUGGCUCUGCCUCCCUAGUACUGGGAUUAAAGGCGUGUGCCACCACCGCCCGGCUGACCUCUGGCUUCUACAUGUUUGUGGGUAACAUUGCAACACACACACACACACUUUUUAAGGUUAAAAAUGCAUGAUAAUUCAAACCUAUAGCAUGAGAGUUUUCCUUAGUUGAAAAGAAAGUCUUUACUGGGUGGUUGUGGCACAUGCCUUUAAUCCUAGCACUCAAGAGCAGAAGAGCAGAUGCAGGCAGAUCUCUGAGUUCAAGAUCAGCCUAGUCUACAAAGUGAGUGCCAGAAUAGCCAGAGUGACACAGAGAAAACAAAACAAAACAAACAAAAAAGAAAAAACAGGAAGUCUUCAGGUCAUGAAAAACAUGUAACAGCUUAAAGAAAAUAAAAUAGCAUUCACUAAAAUUAACAGAGGGGUAAAUCAAAAAAUUAAAUGUCUGUUGUAUAAAAGUACCCCUAAUACAUCAUCAACAACCUACUGGAAAGUAAAGUAAUGUAAAAUCCUAGAGUACCUGACAAAAGGUAUGUAUCCUUCUAAAGAGGUCAUAAAAAGACUGGCCAAGGGAAAUAAUGUAAGCCAAAAGGACACAGGAUCACGUCGAUAUAAUAGAUGAAAAACUGUUAAACUGAAUUGUAUUUCCAGAAACAUAUCCUUGAAAACUGAGAGCAGGAAAAGAUGUUUACAGAUGAACACAGGGGAGAAGACUCUGACAGCCAAAUACCUGCUGUGAGAAAUACUCAUUGUUUAGCUUGAUGGAUGAUCCCAGAUAGAAGCACAGCAAUCAUCAGAAAGGAUAAAUUCACAGUAAAAGAAUGUUUACCAAGCAACAAAAUACCAGAAAUCACUUGGUUCCUCCAAAAGAAAAAGGGGGAGAAGGAGGAAACAAACAAAAUCCACUACAAACCCACAGCUGAGUCAAGAACAAGUAGCAAGAUGGUAAACCAAGUGUACCAAUGACCUACUGAAUGUAAACCGAAUGUACCAAUGACCUACUGAAUGUAAACCAAAUGUACCAAUGACCUAUUAAAUGUAAAUCAAAUGUACCAAUGACCUACUGAAUGUAAACCAAAUGUACCAAUGACCUAUUAAAUGUAAAUCAAAUGUACAAUGAUCUAAUAAAUGUAAACCAAAUAUUCCAAGCAAAAGAUAAUGCUUAAAUUGGAUGCCUUAAAAAAAUGCAACUUAGGCCGAGCAGUGGUGGCACACGCCUUUAAUCCCAGCACUUGGGAGGCAGAGACAGGCGGAUCUCUAUGAGUUCGAGGCCAGCCUGGUCUACAGAGUGAGAUCCAUGAAAGGCGCAAAGCUACACAGAGAAACCCUGUCUCAAAAAACCAAAAAAAAAAAAAAAAAAAAGCAACUUAUAUGAACAUAACUGAUAUACAAAGACAAUGAAAACCUAAUAAAAGGAAUGGGGAAAUAUAGAAUACAGUUUGGAAAGACGGUUUAAUAAGUAAUAGCAUUUAACUACUCUUGUAGAGACCUGGUUUGAUUCCCAGCUCCAAGGGGAUUCAACACCUCGGCCUCCUUGGGCAUCUGCACUCAUAUGCAUAUACCUCUCACAUACAUACAAUUAAAAAUAAUAAAAAUAAAUCUUUAGAAAAUAUAGACUACAAAAAAGCUUUUCAAAAAGACCGUAAAACUACAUUAGUGUCAAAGAUGUAAAAAAAAAAAGC